rnacentral:rRNA from 1 species
UUAACGCUGAGGUGUGAUGACGAGGCACUACGGUGCUGAAGUAACAAAUGCCCUGCUUCCAGGAAAAGCCUCUAAGCAUCAGGUAACAUUAAAUCGUACCCCAAACCGACACAGGUGGUCAGGUAGAGAAUACCAAGGCGCUUGAGAGAACUCGGGUGAAGGAACUAGGCAAAAUGGUGCCGUAACUUCGGGAGAAGGCACGCUGGUGUGUAGGUGAAGUCCCUGCGGAUGGAGCUGAGACCAGUCGAAGAUACCAGCUGGCUGCAACUGUUUAUUAAAAACACAGCACUGUGCAAACACGAAAGUGGACGUAUACGGUGUGACGCCUGCCCGGUGCCGGAAGGUUAAUUGAUGGGGUUAUCCGUAAGGAGAAGCUCUUGAUCGAAGCCCCGGUAAACGGCGGCCGUAACUAUAACGGUCCUAAGGUAGCGAAAUUCCUUGUCGGGUAAGUUCCGACCUGCACGAAUGGCGUAAUGAUGGCCAGGCUGUCUCCACCCGAGACUCAGUGAAAUUGAACUCGCUGUGAAGAUGCAGUGUACCCGCGGCAAGACGGAAAGACCCCGUGAACCUUUACUAUAGCUUGACACUGAACAUUGAGCCUUGAUGUGUAGGAUAGGUGGGAGGCUUUGAAGCGUGGACGCCAGUCUGCGUGGAGCCAACCUUGAAAUACCACCCUUUAAUGUUUGAUGUUCUAACGUAGGCCCCUUAUCGGGGUUGCGGACAGUGUCUGGUGGGUAGUUUGACUGGGGCGGUCUCCUCCCAAAGAGUAACGGAGGAGCACGAAGGUUAGCUAAUCCUGGUCGGACAUCAGGAGGUUAGUGCAAUGGCAUAAGCUAGCUUGACUGCGAGCGUGACGGCGCGAGCAGGUGCGAAAGCAGGUCAUAGUGAUCCGGUGGUUCUGAAUGGAAGGGCCAUCGCUCAACGGAUAAAAGGUACUCCGGGGAUAACAGGCUGAUACCGCCCAAGAGUUCAUAUCGACGGCGGUGUUUGGCACCUCGAUGUCGGCUCAUCACAUCCUGGGGCUGAAGUAGGUCCCAAGGGUAUGGCUGUUCGCCAUUUAAAGUGGUACGCGAGCUGGGUUUAGAACGUCGUGAGACAGUUCGGUCCCUAUCUGCCGUGGGCGCUGGAGAAUUGAGGGGGGCUGCUCCUAGUACGAGAGGACCGGAGUGGACGCAUCACUGGUGUUCGGGUUGUCAUGCCAAUGGCACUGCCCGGUAGCUAAAUGCGGAAGAGAUAAGUGCUGAAAGCAUCUAAGCACGAAACUUGCCCCGAGAUGAGUUCUCCCUGAGACUAUAAGUCUCCUGAAGGAACGUUGAAGACGACGACGUUGAUAGGCCGGGUGUGUAAGCGCAGCGAUGCGUUGAGCUAACCGGUACUAAUGAACCGUGAGGCUUAACC